rnacentral:rRNA from 1 species
UAGCGGCAGGCUUAACACAUGCAAGUCGAGGGGUAUUGGUUUUCGGACCAAGNAGACCGGCGCACGGGUGCGUAACGCGUAUGCAAUCUACCUUUCACAGAGGGAUAGCCCAGAGAAAUUUGGAUUAAUACCUCAUAGUAUUAUAGAAUGGCAUCAUUUUAUAAUUAAAGUCACAACGGUGAAAGAUGAGCAUGCGUCCCAUUAGCUAGAUGGUAAGGUAACGGCUUACCAUGGCAACGAUGGGUAGGGGUCCUGAGAGGGAGAUCCCCCACACUGGUACUGAGACACGGACCAGACUCCUACGGGAGGCAGCAGUGAGGAAUAUUGGUCAAUGGACGCAAGUCUGAACCAGCCAUGCCGCGUGCAGGAUGACGGUCCUAUGGAUUGUAAACUGCUUUUGCACAGGAAGAAACAACGCUACGUGUAGCGUCUUGACGGUACUGUGAGAAUAAGGAUCGGCUAACUCCGUGCCAGCAGCCGCGGUAAUACGGAGGAUCCAAGCGUUAUCCGGAAUCAUUGGGUUUAAAGGGUCCGUAGGCGGUUUAGUAAGUCAGUGGUGAAAGCCCAUCGCUCAACGGUGGAACGGCCAUUGAUACUGCUAGACUUGAAUUAUUAGGAAGUAACUAGAAUAUGUAGUGUAGCGGUGAAAUGCUUAGAGAUUACAUGGGAAUACCAAUUGCGAAGGCAGGUUACUACUAAUAUAUUGACGCU